rnacentral:misc_RNA from 1 species
GACCUUCCUUUUUGGAUCAAUGGGAACUCCCUCCUGGAAGCCACCAAGUUUUCGGAACUUUAGCAUCCUGUGCCUUAACAACUCUUGGGUGUCCAUUUUUGUAAGUUCAUCCAUUGAUUCUUCUAUAGCAAUUUUUAUCUGCUGUGAAGUCCAAUACGGAUCAGCAUGUGCACCACCAAGAGGCUCAGGGAUGGAACCAUCAGCAAUUUGAAGCCUGCACAGCUCUUGAGCUGUUAUCUUGAGUUUCUCAGCUGCCUUAGGAGAAGCUUUUGCAGUCUUCCACAAAAUUGCUGCACAUGCUUCUGGGCUGGCAACAUAGAAGACAGCAUUUUCAAGCAUCAACAAUUUA